GUGGGGAAUAUUGGGCAAUGGGGGCAACCCUGACCCAGCGACGCCGCGUGAGGGAAGAAGGCCUUCGGGUUGUAAACCUCUUUUGUAUGGGAAGAAGGACGUGACGGUACCGUACGAAUAAGUCCCGGCUAACUACGUGCCAGCAGCCGCGGUAAUACGUAGGGGACGAGCGUUGUCCGGAAUUACUGGGCGUAAAGGGCGCGCAGGCUGUGCUGCAAGUCAGCUGUGAAAUAUCUGGGCUUAACCCGGUUAUGCGGUUGAGACUGCAGUGCUGGAGUGCUGUAGAGGCAAGCGGAAUUCCCAGUGUAGCGGUGAAAUGCGUAGAUAUUGGGAAGAACACCGGUGGCAAAGGCGGCUUGCUGGGCAGCAACUGACGCUGAGGCGCGAAAGCCAGGGGAGCAAACGGGAUUAGAUACCCGGGUAGUCC
rnacentral:rRNA from 1 species